rnacentral:lncRNA from 1 species
CAAGAGAUUAAAGGUAAACGGAAAAUUAUGUGAUUAAGUGAAUGGAUAAAACGACAAGUUUACUGGAUAUGCUGGGAGAUGGUGGACGGACCGGGUACAUAGAAAAUCCUACCAUGAACGUUGCCUCAUACCGAACGGGGUACGGGGACGACCCGUUAAUUGAAAAUAUUAAAGGAAAGGGUUCACACCAUGUGGAAACAUCCCUAUGAACCCCUAUGAAUACUAGUAGGCUGAUAAAGAGAAAAUUAUUAUUCUGACCAAUUGCAUAUGAAAUCAU